AUGAUAUAAGAAGGAACCCCUCGACCAGGAUUAGAUCGCAUCGAAAGUUUCUUGCCCGACAUCGCCGUGUUACAAGUUUUUGACAUCGCCGUUCCUGUACGCCGUCGAUUUCGCCGGAGAUCCGUCUGCACGUGCUCCACCGCCCGCCGGAAUUUCUCCCGGUCUAAGGGUAGCCUGUAGUUCCUGCCGAGUCACAGAGUAACAUUGAGGUGAGGAGGCGGCGGCCAGCACAAGCCCCAGGAGCCGCAGUGGGGCUACGAGAACGGCGACAACAAUGACUAGCGGCCGCCAGGUCUUGGUGGCAUGACAUCCUCCUUGUCCAUCAUAACGUACUUCUCCACCGCCCAGUGUGGGUGACGACGCGGCAGCGGUCGACCAGCACUCGUGGCGGCGCUUGCCCAUCUGACGCGAUGGCGGAUUGGCGGCUCGGGCCCUCGGCAGUCGGCAGAGCGAAGUUCACGAUGUCUCUCUCUGGACAGGGUGGAGCUCGUGCAUCCGGCGUGGCUGAUGCAUCUGCGCAGCACUACGGAUCGCUGUGGGCACGACGACCUGAUGGCGCGUGCGAUGCGACGGCAGCCAGCGGUGCGGCACUGUAGUUGUCUCUGGAAAGCUGACGGGCGAGACAUGGGAGGCGGUGGGCGAGACAUGCACCGGGGUUGACUGGAUGAUGAGGUAACUACUAACUACUGGAUGACCAGGUGCUCAUGGAGGACUCGGUGAAUCAUGAAGCAGAUCGAGGAGUUCACUGACGCGCAUGUAUGACGGUUUUUCAAAUUUCAGAGUUUCAGAGGUUGCAGUACGAGCAUGUGGAAAGGAUGCACUCUAUGGUGUUCUUCCUGAUAGAUGUACUAAUGGACAUGAUUUGUCUCUAUCUAAAUACUAAGAUCGAGUUCACACGUGCAGGUGAUGCAAAGGCUAAUCUUCUUUCACAUGUUUUUGUCGUCUUUACCACUGAAAUUUUGUUUCCAAUUUGUUCAGUUCCAGCUAUACCACUUUGUUUAUGCAAUUAACUGUAAAUUUUGUCGGGUAUUGAGGGUCCCCUAACUGUUUAUGUCCUAGCCAGUCCACAGGAUUACAAUCGUGGUCGUGUGAUAUUUGUGAUGUUCUUUACACUGAUUCAAUGCAAGUGAUGUGUGUUCUUGUCCUUUUGAAUUUCUUUUAUCUCAGGUUCAAUCUUCUUAUUGAACAAAUGAAAUUCACACUUGGAUGGAAGGAUUUGUGAUUCAGCAAUAAACGUUUUAUUUUGUAGAAAUACAUAUUUAGAUUUGGUUAGUUUAUCCACAAACCCACGUGCGUAGAACUAAAGCAUGUUCUUUUCUUCAUGUAAUUGUGUUUAAGAACGGGGAGGGCAGAGAUUUUGUCUACUGAUGGUUGCAGAACAUAAUAUGAUUACUUUGUUGCUUCAGUAUUAUUGACAUUCCUCCUCUCUGAUGUUGUCCUGUCUAAGUUGAGUUAGGUCAGUGGGUUAGAAACUUAGAAUCUUAUUUGCACAUCCGUACAAAAAAUAUAUGUAUUUAAACAUCCAUUCUCAAAAAGCAUGUCAAUAUGCCAGCAUGCAUAUGGCCAACAUCGCAAGUAGGGGAGUUCAAAAGAAUCGUAGAUCUUACACUGGGGAGCUCAGGCUACACCCCAGAACAACCAGACCCAGUCAAGCACCAAAAGACAACAAUUCACCAUGCAACGACAAUCUAAGUUCCUAAAUAUUGUAAUCAUAUAGAACUGGAAGCAUAUCAAAGUAAUUUGUAGGUAGUUUUGUUCCUAGAUUCAGAACUGUCUUUGUAGGAAUAUAUUACUAACGAAUUAAAUCAACUACAAAAAUUGCCGGACAAUACUUACUGAGAUGAAUAUAACGGCAAGGUGGAUUAGAGAGGCAAUAUAUUGGAGCAAUAGCACACCCACGACGUAGCUGAGGGACCGAUCGGAAUUUAUAUGAUGUCUUGACUGUAGGGCGGCAGAUAUAGAAUGGAGGCAGUGUACUAUGUGCCAGCGGCAUGAGGAUUCUCAAGGAAUAUGCUUAACUCAAUCAGUGUUGAACCACCGGAAUAUUUAUGCACUCGAUGGUUACGCGCACAGGUAGAACAAACAAUCUGUAGGCAAGUAUGUUUGCUAUAAUGAGCCCCUACAAGUAUCUUAUUUGCUGUUUCGUGUAGCACAAAGAAGCUUAUAGAUAAUAGAAGGCUUGUUAUUUAACAGUAUAACAUAGACUAUAUACCAAUGUCACUUUUGAUGUUUGGGUUCUCAUCCGUUCUUAUCUUGCAUACAUUCAUUAUCAUUUUUCUCUUGUUGUGCAAUUUUUGUACAAUGUCGCACUUUAACGAGUAACUAUGAUUAUUCUUUUCAUACAGACUUGUGUCGAGCUAAAUUGUGCUACUUGGCCAUUGAAUUGGAUUAUUAUGGUGGUUACAGUUUCUGACUCAAACAUGUAGAAGGAAUUCAAGAAUGAUUUUUUUGAUAAGUAGAUAUAUUUUGGAAAAUCAUUAGGUGUUGUCCUAUCUAUA